rnacentral:rRNA from 1 species
GGCUUAGAAGCAGCCAUGCAUUCAAAGAGUGCGUAACAGCUCACUGGUCGAGUGGGGGCGCGCCGACAAUGCGCGGGGCUCAAGCACGGCGCCGAAGCGGCGGAAUCAUUCAUUUGAUUGGUAGGGGAGCUUUCCAUGCCGGGAGAAGCCGGAGGCGCGAGCCCCGGUGGACGGCAUGGAAGUGAGGAUGCAGGCAUGAGUAGCGAGAGAGCGGCGAGAAACCGCUCCGCCGAAAACCCAAGGUUUCCUGGGCGAGGCUAAUCCCCCCAGGGUCAGCCGGGAGCUAAGGCGAGGCCGCAAGGCGCAGCCGAUGCACGACGGGCAGACAUUCCCGUGCCGGCGCGGGCGCGCUACGACCGAUGGGACGACGGGGAAGGAUACGCGAGCGGGGUUCUGGACGUCCCCGUGAAAGCGCGUAGGGAGGGGCCCAGGGAAAUCCGGUCCCCACAUAUCCCGAGACGCGAGACGAGCCCUAUGGCGAAGUCGCGGAUUCCAUGCCUCCUAGAAAAAUCCCUAGGCAGCGCCCACGCCGCCCGUACCAAAACCGACACAGGUGGGUAGGAAGAGCAUUCCGAGGCGAUCGGGGCAACCAUGGUCAAGGAACUCGGCAUAAUCGUCCCGUAACUUAGGGAGAAGGGACGCCCCCCAGCGUGAACCGGCUCGCCCGGGAAGCGCCGGGGGGCCGCAGCGAAAGGGCCCAAGCGACUGUUUACCAAAAACACAGGACUCUGCCAAGCCGCGAGGCGAAGUAUAGGGUCUGACGCCUGCCCGGUGCCGGAAGGUUACGCGGAUGCGUUAGCAGCGAUGCGAAGCGCUGAAGCCAAGCCCCGGUAAACGGCGGCCGUAACUAUAACGGUCCUAAGGUAGCGAAAUUCCUUGUCGGGUAAGUUCCGACCUGCACGAACGGCGCAACGACUUGGGCGCUGUCUCGACCAUGGGCCCGGCGAAAUUGCAUUAUCCGUGAAGAUGCGGAUUCCCCGCGGAAGGACGGAAAGACCCCGUGAACCUUUACUGCAGCUUGGCAUUGGCCGCAGGCGCGGCGCGUAGAGGAUAGGCAGGAGGCUGCGAAGCCCGGGCGCCAGCCCGGGCGGAGCCGACCUUGGAAUACUGCCCCCGUCGCGUCGGCGGCCUAACCCGGGGACGGCCCGGGGACCGUGCCAGGCGGGCAGUUUGACUGGGGCGGUCGCCUCCCAAAGAGUAACGGAGGCGCGCGCAAGGUCCGCUCAGGACGGUCGGCAACCGUCCGCGGAGCGCAAGAGCACAAGCGGGCCUGACUGCGAGGCAGACAAGCCGAGCAGGGACGAAAGUCGGCUCUAGUGAUCCGGCGGCCCCGAGUGGAAGGGCCGUCGCUCAACGGAUAAAAGGUACUCCGGGGAUAACAGGCUGAUCUUGCCCAAGAGUCCACAUCGACGGCAAGGUUUGGCACCUCGAUGUCGGCUCAUCGCAUCCUGGGGCUGGAGCAGGUCCCAAGGGUACGGCUGUUCGCCGUUUAAAGCGGUACGCGAGCUGGGUUCAGAACGUCGUGAGACAGUUCGGUCCCUAUCCUCCGCGGGCGCAGGAGAAUUGAGGAGGGCUGCCCCUAGUACGAGAGGACCGGGGCGGACGGGCCUCUGGUGUCCCGGUUGUCGACCAACGGCACGGCCGGCUAGCCACGCCCGGAACGGAUAACCGCUGAAGGCAUCUAAGCGGGAAGCCGUCUCCGAGAUGAGUUCUCCCUUCGGUAAGCCCCCAUGUAGAACACGUGGUCGAUAGGCCGCAGCUGCAAGCGCCGCGAGGCGUUCAGGCGAGCGGUACUAAUAGGGCGAGCCCUUGCACC